AAUGAAGAGCCUGAGGAAAGGAUUAUUUUGAUAGAAUAAAAAACGUAACAAAAAUUACCUUCAUUA
rnacentral:tRNA from 1 species